CAAUCCCUUGGGCCUGGAGAGAUUUUGAUGUCUUUUUGAAUGGCUAUGUCUGUCCUUCAAGAUGAGUGGUUGUCACUCCAUGAAGUAAAAUUUUAGGAACUCUUCUGUUCUUGGUUGAAAAGGUCUAUCUACUAUAUCCCCCAGGGAGAAGGUGGACCUGUUUGCAUCUCUACUAACUGCUGUCAAACAGAGUUUAUAACUUCAAAGGACUGGCCUAUCACAGGAAAAGUCAAGAUGCCAUAACCAAGAAGAUCACCACAAGGAUCAUGCUGAAAUCUCCUGACACCAGCUUUGAUGACUAAGAUUCCCCAAAGAAAGAAGAAUGCAAGUCUGCCCCAACCUUGAUUUUUUAUCUGAAGCCCUGUUUUCCUCCUUUUAGGUUGUAAAACUACAUGCAAUUCUUAUCUUUCUCCUUUAGAAGACCACAGUCUUUGGGCAUUAGCUUGCUAUGGCCUCCUUUGCCUGGCAAAGCAAUAAUUAUAUAUUUUUUCCUUUACCCAAUACUCUGUCUCUGUGAUUCUUUCUGGCACCAGUGGGCAGUGGACAGGGGCUGAGUUUCAGCAACACAUACAACUAAAAAAUGCUAUAAUUCCUUCAUUAUUAUUGCUGUGUAUUAUAAAAGAAAAUUUGACCAUUUCAGGGCCCAGAAUUUCAAAAUUCUGUAGCAAGUAUUAUUUACCCAUCUACUUAAUUAGCUUAAUGGUGUUAAGUUCUAAUGUCUGUUAUUCACUUCUUUAGUACGUCCAGCUACACAAUCUCAAAAGCAAUAUGGAGCAACAUUUUAUUAAAUACUGACUAAUAACCUGUUUUUCUUUUUAAAAUUUUAGUCCAUGAGACUGUUCAAAAGAUUAUUUUCAGAAGGGAUUGGAAUAUUGCUAUAAAUAAUUUAAUAUCUUGACAUAGGAAUUUCCUUUGUGGUCAGUGGUUAAUGAACCUGACUAGCAUCCUUGAGGACGUGGGUUCGAUCCCUGGCCUUGCUCAGUGGAUUAAGUAUCCAGCGUUGCUGUGAGCUAUGGUGUAGGUUGCAGAGCGUUGCUGUGAGCUAUGGUGUAGGUUGCAGACAUGGCUUGGAUCCUGCAUUGCUGUGGCUUUGGUGUAGGCCUGAGGCUACAGCUCUGAUUUGACCUCUAGCCUGGAAACCUCCAUAUGCUGCGAGUGUGGCCCUAGAGGGACAAAAGAAAAACAUUGAAAUAAAUUAAUUUUAUUUUUCAUGGGUAUUUAUUUAUUUCUAUUUCUUUUGAAGGAAUUAAAAAAUAUUUUGAAGAAAAAAAUUUUAAUUUUCAUAUUUUUGUCUUGUUUGCAUUUGUAAGUCUGAUAGAUGUUAUUAAGGCAAAUAAAUUAUUAGCAUUAAGCAUUUUAUUACUAUGGCUUCAGACCUCCAUUUUUUAUUAAUAGAACUCCACUUGGGGGAUGGGGCUGUUUUACUUUGAUAAUUUACUUCUAUUUGUAAUGAGAUAUACCAAAAGCUAUAGUACAUAAAGGCAGUCUGUUACAGACACCAAAGUCAAAAUUUUUACUCAAAUAACCCUUCAUCCUUUUUUUCUUUUUUUGUCUUUUUAGGGCCACACCAGCAGCAUAUGGAAUUUCCCAGGCUAGGGGUUGAAUUGAAGGUGCAGCUGCCAGCCUACACCAUAGCUACAGCAAAGUGGGAUCUGAGCUGCGUCUGUGACGUACACCACAGCUGUCAGCAACACCAGAUUCUUAACCCACUGAGGCCAGGGAUGGAACCUGUAUCCUCAUGGUUAUUAGUCAGGUUCAUUACAAGGGGAACUCCAUUAUUUCUUUAUUGCUCUAAAAAACCAAGAUCAGCGACAAUAAUGAGUACCAAAUUAAAGAAUCAUACAGAAAUUCCUGGAUUUUCAUAGGAUUUGUAUUUGCAAGCCAUCUAUGUAUUUCCUUUUAUGGUGGAGGAUGUUUGUGUGGAAAAAUAAAGUGAGCAGUAAGAAAAUAGAAACAAUCUCUGGCUUCCAAACAUUUGGGGUCGGGGUGGGCUGCUAGGAGGCUGAGGGGAACAGAUUCCUCAGUGGGUUAAAAGAAACACAAAAUAUGAUCCAUAUUCUUCACCAAAUUGGUACAAUUUUCGUAUGUGUGGGUAGACAAAUAUAGGUACUUUGGAAGGGAGAGACUAUCUUUUUCUCACCUCAGUAACCAAUAAAAAUUCAAGAAUCACCAACCUGUAGAUAGCUAUGCAAAUUAUCAUUUGAUUCUGAAAUGAUAAACAAUAUCUGGUUAUUCUAAAUUUUUGCCUUUAAACUUAUUAGGAACUAGCUUCUUGUUUUUUCUUCAUGUUCUUUUGUUUUUUUAAAAUUUUACUGUAGUUUAGUUGACUUACAAAGUCGUGCUAAUUUCAGGCAUACAGCAAAGUAAAUCAGUUACACAUAUACAUAUAUCCAUUCUUUUUCAGAUUUUUUCCCCCCAUAUAGGUUAUUACACAAUAUUGAGUAAAUUUCCCUGUGCUAUACACUUCGUGUUCUUUACUAUUAAUUUUACUCACAGUCAGUGGAGGCACCAAGCGAUGUGGGGGAGGGAAAGGAGAAUAUGGGAAGACAGACAUUAUCCAUUGGCCUCUCCUAAGCCAUGCCAAAUACAAUGAUUUGCUUGUAAUGAAAAUUAAGCUUGAAGGCAAGUCUGCUUACCUUUCUUCAACCAGAUCACUCCCCUAGAUCCAUCAACCUAGGAAUUUCUGAAGCUUCCAAAGGUAAGUAGUGCUGGCAAUAGUUCCAUGUACUUAGCCUCCUAAAAACAGAAUUAUUGUUUUACCCUAUACUUUUUCACAGAGUUCAGCCCUGUCCUACCCUCCCAUCCUUAAACAUCAUCUUGGACUCCACUUUCACCGUGACACUGGGGAUCAGAUUUUUAAAUGAACUUCACUAGCUAAAAUGCCCUUAUUUCCCAUGAAAGAGUAAAGUUUAAUUGUUCCAGAUAUGAUGCAUUUAGGAUAUCCUUUCUCUCUUAUACGUCCUUGGUCUCAAACAGCUCCACAACUCCAGUUCCCCCUGCAGGAUUUUAAGCAAUUUGAUGUCAACCUUUCAUAGAAUGUGUUUUAUUUUCCUUUAAUACUCUUUAUUUUCCUGAAUUUAUUAUAGUGCUUUGAAUAUAGUAGAAAUUUAUUGAAUAUUUUUUUUUUUUAAAGCCCAAAGAGUUGGACUAUUCCCCAGAAACUAGAACAUUUUCUUUGCAUUUUAUACCAUAGUUUCUGCUUUUUCAAUAAAUUAAAAAAAAAAUGAAAACACAAGUGUAGGGUGAGGAUUUGGAAGGCAGGGGUUUAAGAGGAUAGUAGAGGUCGGUGGUGGUGCUGAGGGUGAGCAGUCCCUUUCUAUCAGGGGAGAUUCUGAAAGCUUGCCCUCUGGGGAGCUUGGGCCUCGAGAAGGAGGGUUUCUGGACCCUUCUCAAAAAUGUUCCCUUUAUUUUCAUAGACCCCACUCAGGUAAUGUCAUAUGACAUUAUGAAAGGUAUAAGCAUUUGAUAUUCAAUUCUAUAAUGGAUCUUUUCCCCUCCUUCCUUUGUCUGAUUAAUUUCUCUUUCCAUUCAAUUGAAAAAAAAUUCUCAUGAAGGAGUUAGGUAUUUUCUGCUCUCUCUCUACUCUGAACACUUUCUCUCUCUGUUGCUUUUUUUUUUUGCAAACCCUUUUCUUAAAUUUAAUUUUUAUAUUGUAGUAUAGUUGAUUUAUGUUAUGUUAGUUUCAGGUUAUAGCAAAGUUAUUCAGUUAUGCAUAUACAUACAUCCGUUCUCUUUCAGAUUGUUUUCCCAUAUAGGUUAUUACAGAUUAUUGAACAAAAUUUCCUGUGCUAUACUAUAGGCUUUUGUUGAUUAUCUAUUUUAUAUAUAGUUGUGUGUAUAUGCUAAUCCCGAACUCCUAAUUUAAGUACUGGAUGUUUUAAGCAGUUGGUUUUCUCUAUUUUUAAUGUUUAUCUUAUUACCAAUGAAAGAGUAAGAUUACUUUUAUUCUCAUACUCUUCUUUAAGGGAGGUAGCUGCCAUUAGAAUUGUUUGAAUAAGUGAAAGUAUUGAAUGAUCCUGGGUGCAUAGGCAGCUGUAGAUUUAUCAGAGAAGGGAGGUCAUGGUCAGGAUGAAUCACAUCUCUCUUCCCAAAGUGUUUGCCUCAGAGAAUUAGUGACUAGAAAUUUUGCAUCCUCAAGUUCAUGAUACUCGGGGGUAAACUAUUGGAACAAUUUUCCAAGUGACUGCUUUCUUUAGCAAAUUCCAUUUUUUUUUUUUUUUGAGAAAGUGAUGUGGUAAAAGUCAUUUUAGUUCAACUUUGCUAUAGAAUUCCAAAAA
rnacentral:lncRNA from 1 species